rnacentral:rRNA from 1 species
CGGGACACGUGGUAUCCUGUCUGAAUAUGGGGGGACCAUCCUCCAAGGCUAAAUACUCCUGACUGACCGAUAGUGAACCAGUACCGUGAGGGAAAGGCGAAAAGAACCCCGGCGAGGGGAGUGAAAAAGAACCUGAAACCGUGUACGUACAAGCAGUGGGAGCACGCUUAGGCGUGUGACUGCGUACCUUUUGUAUAAUGGGUCAGCGACUUAUAUUCUGUAGCAAGGUUAACCGAAUAGGGGAGCCGAAGGGAAACCGAGUCUUAACUGGGCGUUAAGUUGCAGGGUAUAGACCCGAAACCCGGUGAUCUAGCCAUGGGCAGGUUGAAGGUUGGGUAACACUAACUGGAGGACCGAACCGACUAAUGUUGAAAAAUUAGCGGAUGACUUGUGGCUGGGGGUGAAAGGCCAAUCAAACCGGGAGAUAGCUGGUUCUCCCCGAAAGCUAUUUAGGUAGCGCCUCGUGAAUUCAUCUCCGGGGGUAGAGCACUGUUUCGGCAAGGGGGUCAUCCCGACUUACCAACCCGAUGCAAACUGCGAAUACCGGAGAAUGUUAUCACGGGAGACACACGGCGGGUGCUAACGUCCGUCGUGAAGAGGGAAACAACCCAGACCGCCAGCUAAGGUCCCAAAGUCAUGGUUAAGUGGGAAACGAUGUGGGAAGGCCCAGACAGCCAGGAUGUUGGCUUAGAAGCAGCCAUCAUUUAAAGAAAGCGUAAUAGCUCACUGGUCGAGUCGGCCUGCGCGGAAGAUGUAACGGGGCUAAACCAUGCACCGAAGCUGCGGCAGCGACGCUGAUGCGUUGUUGGGUAGGGGAGCGUUCUGUAAGCCUGUGAAGGUGUGCUGUGAGGCAUGCUGGAGGUAUCAGAAGUGCGAAUGCUGACAUAAGUAACGAUAAAGCGGGUGAAAAGCCCGCUCGCCGGAAGACCAAGGGUUCCUGUCCAACGUUAAUCGGGGCAGGGUGAGUCGACCCCUAAGGCGAGGCCGAAAGGCGUAGUCGAUGGGAAACAGGUUAAUAUUCCUGUACUUGGUGUUACUGCGAAGGGGGGACGGAGAAGGCUAUGUUGGCCGGGCGACGGUUGUCCCGGUUUAAGCGUGUAGGCUGGUUUUCCAGGCAAAUCCGGAAAAUCAAGGCUGAGGCGUGAUGACGAGGCACUACGGUGCUGAAGCAACAAAUGCCCUGCUUCCAGGAAAAGCCUCUAAGCAUCAGGUAACAUCAAAUCGUACCCCAAACCGACACAGGUGGUCAGGUAGAGAAUACCAAGGCGCUUGAGAGAACUCGGGUGAAGGAACUAGGCAAAAUGGUGCCGUAACUUCGGGAGAAGGCACGCUGAUAUGUAGGUGAAGCGACUUGCUCGUGGAGCUGAAAUCAGUCGAAGAUACCAGCUGGCUGCAACUGUUUAUUAAAAACACAGCACUGUGCAAACACGAAAGUGGACGUAUACGGUGUGACGCCUGCCCGGUGCCGGAAGGUUAAUUGAUGGGGUCAGCGCAAGCGAAGCUCUUGAUCGAAGCCCCGGUAAACGGCGGCCGUAACUAUAACGGUCCUAAGGUAGCGAAAUUCCUUGUCGGGUAAGUUCCGACCUGCACGAAUGGCGUAAUGAUGGCCAGGCUGUCUCCACCCGAGACUCAGUGAAAUUGAACUCGCUGUGAAGAUGCAGUGUACCCGCGGCAAGACGGAAAGACCCCGUGAACCUUUACUAUAGCUUGACACUGAACAUUGAGCCUUGAUGUGUAGGAUAGGUGGGAGGCUUUGAAGUGUGGACGCCAGUCUGCAUGGAGCCGGCCUUGAAAUACCACCCUUUAAUGUUUGAUGUUCUAACGUUGACCCGUGAUCCGGGUUGCGGACAGUGUCUGGUGGGUAGUUUGACUGGGGCGGUCUCCUCCUAAAGAGUAACGGAGGAGCACGAAGGUUGGCUAAUCCUGGUCGGACAUCAGGAGGUUAGUGCAAUGGCAUAAGCCAGCUUGACUGCGAGCGUGACGGCGCGAGCAGGUGCGAAAGCAGGUCAUAGUGAUCCGGUGGUUCUGAAUGGAAGGGCCAUCGCUCAACGGAUAAAAGGUACUCCGGGGAUAACAGGCUGAUACCGCCCAAGAGUUCAUAUCGACGGCGGUGUUUGGCACCUCGAUGUCGGCUCAUCACAUCCUGGGGCUGAAGUAGGUCCCAAGGGUAUGGCUGUUCGCCAUUUAAAGUGGUACGCGAGCUGGGUUUAGAACGUCGUGAGACAGUUCGGUCCCUAUCUGCCGUGGGCGCUGGAGAACUGAGGGGGGCUGCUCC